rnacentral:rRNA from 1 species
GAUGAACGCUGACAGAAUGCUUAACACAUGCAAGUCAACUUGAACUUCGGUUUGGGUGGCGGACGGGUGAGUAACGCGUAAAGAACUUGCCUCACAGCUAGGGACAACAUUUGGAAACGAAUGCUAAUACCUGAUAUUAUGAUUAUAUGGCAUCGUAUAAUUAUGAAAGCUAUAUGCGCUGUGAGAGAGCUUUGCGUCCCAUUAGCUAGUUGGAGAGGUAACAGCUCACCAAGGCGAUGAUGGGUAGCCGGCCUGAGAGGGUGAUCGGCCACAAGGGGACUGAGACACGGCCCUUACUCCUACGGGAGGCAGCAGUGGGGAAUAUUGGACAAUGGACCGAGAGUCUGAUCCAGCAACUCUGUGUGCACGAUGAAGUUUUUCGGAAUGUAAAGUGCUUUCAGUUGGGAAGAAAAAAAUGACGGUACCAACAGAAGAAGUGACGGCUAAAUACGUG